rnacentral:rRNA from 1 species
UUCAUAAACAACCAGGAUGUUGGCUCAGAAGCAGCCACCAUUUAAAGAGUGCGUAAUAGCUCACUGGUCGAGAGACGCUGCGCCGAAAAUGUCCGGGGCUCAAGCACGGAACCGAAGCUAUGGCAUUGCGUAAGCAAUGGGUAGGGGAGCGUUCUUAUGGGGAAGAAGCAUUACCGUAAGGAGAUGUGGACACAUAAGAAGUGAGAAUGCCGGUAUGAGUAUCGAAAAGAAAGGUGAGAAUCCUUUCCACCGAAAGCCCGAGGGUUCCUGAGCAACGAUCGUCGUCUCAGGGUAAGUCGGGACCUAAGCCGAGGCACAGACGCAUAGGCGAUGGACAACAGGUUGAAAUUCCUGUACCGGAUGGAGUCAUUUGAGCAAUGGAGUGACGCAGGAGGGCACAUGAUCGCGCGACUGGAAGAGCGCGUCCAAGUGCGUAUGUUGAAUCGGAGGCAAAUCCCCGAUUCUGAAAGCAGAGACAUGAUGGGGAGUUAUAAGCGAUUAUGACGAACUCAUGGAUCCCACACUGCCAAGAAAAACUUCUAGCGAGACGAAAUCCGCCCGUACCGUAAACCGACACAGGUAGGCGGGGAGAGAAUCCUAAGGUGCGCGGGAAAACCCUCGUUAAGGAACUCGGCAAAUUGCAUCCGUAACUUCGGGAGAAGGAUGGCCCUGAGUAGGCGAAGUGCAGAAACGCACGGAACAGAAAAGGGUGGCAGAAAAGAGGCCCAAGCAACUGUUUACCAAAAACACAGGUGCCUGCGAAAGCGAAAGCUGAAGUAUAGGUGCUGACGCCUGCCCGGUGCUGGAAGGUUAAGGAGAGAGGUUAGCGCAAGCGAAGCUUUGAACUGAAGCCCCAGUGAACGGCGGCCGUAACUAUAACGGUCCUAAGGUAGCGAAAUUCCUUGUCGGGUAAGUUCCGACCCGCAUGAAAGGCGUAAUGAUUUGGGCGCUGUCUCAACGAGGGGCCCGGUGAAAUUGAAAUACCUGUGAAGAUGCAGGUUACCCGCGACUGGACAGAAAGACCCCAUGGAGCUUUACUGCAGCUUGAGAUUGAAUCCCGGUGGCAGACGCACAGGAUAGGUGGGAGGCUUUGAGAUAGUGACUUUGGUUGCUAUGGAGCCGACGUUGGGAUACCACCCUUCUGUUGCUGGGAUUCUAACGCGAAGAUUAACAACCUUGCGGACCAUCUCAGGUAGGCGGUUUGACUGGGGCGGUCGCCUCCGAAAGAGUAACGGAGGCGCCCAAAGGUUCCCUCAGGCCGGACAGAAACCGGCCGAAGAGUGCAAAGGCAGAAGGGAGCUUGACUGCGAGACAGACAAGUCGAGCAGAGACGAAAGUCGGGCUUAGUGAUCCGGUGGUACUGCGUGGAAAGGCCAUCGCUCAACGGAUAAAAGCUACCCUGGGGAUAACAGGCUAAUCUCUCCCAAGAGUUCAUAUCGACGGGGAGGUUUGGCACCUCGAUGUCGGCUCAUCACAUCCUGGAGCUGGAGUAGGUUCCAAGGGUUGGGCUGUUCGCCCAUUAAAGUGGUACGCGAGCUGGGUUCAAAACGUCGUGAGACAGUUUGGUUCAUAUCCAUCGCGGGCGCAAGAAGUUUGAGGGAGGCUGCUCCUAGUACGAGAGGACCGGAGUGGACGGAUCAACGGUGUACCAGUUGUCACGCCAGUGGCACGGCUGGAAAGCCGCAUCCGGAAAGGAUAAACGCUGAAAGCAUCUAAGCGUGAAGCCCGUCCCAAGAUGAGACUUCUCAUCAGCAAUGAGUAAGACCCCUUAAAGACGAUGAGGUUGAUAGGCUGUGAGUGGAAGAGCCGCGAGGCUUGGAGCGACGCAGUACUAAUAGGUCGAGGUCUUAACU